UACAGAGGGUGCAAGCGUUACUCGGAUUUACUGGGCGUAAAGGGCGCGUAGGCGGAUAUUUAAGUUGGAUGUGAAAUCCCUGGGCUUAACCUAGGAAUUGCAUACAAAACUGGAUAUCUGGAGUACUGUAGAGGGUAGUGGAAUUUCCGGUGUAGCGGUGAAAUGCGUAGAGAUCGGAAGGAACACCAGUGGCGAAGGCGGCUACCUGGACAGAUACUGACGCUGAGGCGCGAGAGCGUGGGGAGCAAACAGG
rnacentral:rRNA from 1 species